AUUGAACGCUGGCGGCAGGCUUAACACAUGCAAGUCGAGCGGAGUGAUGGUGCUUGCACUAUCACUUAGCGGCGGACGGGUGAGUAAUGCUUAGGAAUCUGCCUAUUAGUGGGGGACAACAUCUCGAAAGGGAUGCUAAUACCGCAUACGUCCUACGGGAGAAAGCAGGGGAUCACUUGUGACCUUGCGCUAAUAGAUGAGCCUAAGUCGGAUUAGCUAGUUGGUGGGGUAAAGGCCUACCAAGGCGACGAUCUGUAGCGGGUCUGAGGGGAUGACCCGCCACACUGGGACUGGGACAAGGCCCAGACUCCUACGUGAGGCAGCAGUGGGGAAUAUUGGACAAUGGGGGGAACCCUGAUCCAGCCAUGCCGCGUGUGUGAAGAAGGCCUUAUGGUUGUAAAGCACUUUAAGCGAGGAGGAGGCUCUUUUGGUUAAUACCCAAGCUGAGUGGACGUUACUCGCAGAAUAAGCACCGGCUAACUCUGUGCCAGCCGCCGCCGUAA
rnacentral:rRNA from 1 species